GACGAACGCUGGCGGCGUGCUUAACACAUGCAAGUCGAACGGAAAGGCCCUGCUUUUGUGGUGUGCUCGAGUGGCGAACGGGUGAGUAACACGUGAGUAACCUUCCCUUGACUUUGGGAUAACUUCAGGAAACUGGGGCUAAUACCGGAUAGGAGCUCCUGCUGCAUGGUGGGGGUCGGAAAGUUUCGGCGGUUGUGGGUGGACUCGCGGCUUAUCAGCUUGUUGGUGGGGUAGUGGCUUACCAAGGCAUUGACGGGUAGCCGGCCUGAGAGGGUGACCGGCGACAUUGGGACUGAGGUACGGACCAGACUCCUACGGGGGGCAGCAGGGGGGAAUAUUGCACAACGGGCGGACGUCUGAUGCAGAAACGCCGCGUGCGGGAUGACGGCCUUCUGGUUGUAAACCGCUUUCGCCUGUGACGAAGCGUGAGUGACGGUAAUGGGUAAAGAAGCACCGGCUAACUACGUG
rnacentral:rRNA from 1 species